AGUGCUUAUAAAUUAUGGAACUACAUUUCACAAUUGAAUAAGCAUUGUGAUAAAUCAGGACGUUCCUUACUGCAUGAGAAUGUGUUUGUUGGAGUUUUGUAAAUAACAAGUCCACUAUUUAAGAAGUGUUUUUCAUGGAGGAAAGCGGCAUACGACACUGAACGGCUGUAGAUGUAGGAACAACUUUCUGCUCUGACUCCCCAGAAAUAUCGAUGACAGUACGACAUUUAUAGAAUACCACGGAACGACCUGUUUUCUCGUAAACAAUUAAUCUGAUACUAGUAAUAUACAUUGUAUUGCUUAUGCCUGUGCUGUAUUGUAUACUAUUAAAACUGCGUUCAUCCAUUUCUAGUGACAAUGCAUGCAGUCGUGUUGUGAAACAUAUGUGCUGAAGUCAUUAACGACUAUAUUAUUCAACAUGGGACUAUUAAUAUGGAAUAUGAUGGCCGAGUGGGAAGCAUAUGGUGUGUGAUAGCCAUUUAAUGAGGCUUAAAUUAUCUUCAAUAUUCAUUGUGAACAUAGGAUAUUAAUUUCUUUGCUACACUGUUGCUCCUUGGCGACUUUGUCCCAACACUAAUGGCGAAAGCCUGCUUAUGAGCAGUUCCAAGGUUUAAACAGGAAGACGAUUCUUGAACCACGGACGGAUCGACCCAACGACCUAACAAGAAGUUUUUCUUUCCGUUUGACGUUGAUAACCACGGAGCAAGGGUCGGUCCGAUCCCACAGCCUUACCGGAAGUGUGAAUCUUAACGAGUUAUUUAUGCUCCUUGGAAGACGGACCAUCCCGUCCCGCUGUCAUCAACGGGGGUGAGCCGCACUGUAUUAUACUGACGCCGCCUGCUACAUUGAAGGUCCUUACCGGUAGUUAGAGUCAUGUUAUCCGUUUCCGGGCGAUACCGCCCAUCCACUGUCAUCGAAAGUUAAAGGGUUCUUGAACGAUAUCGGCAUCCCAAAUUCUCAAGCCGCCCCCGGCCACGCGGCUGGCAUCGCUGUCCCGAUUUGAGCGACAUUAUCGCCAUUAACGACAUACCCACAGACGGCUCACCGGAUAUGGAGGCUGAGUGAUAAAAAUCUACUUCAAGUGUCAAGUCUCCAAGAACCUUCAUGGCGUCCAAAUCUAACCCAGGUCAGGCCACCACCGGCCGUCCGCCAACAACGAGUGUUCUACGGAGCGCUCUUUACUACCAAAAUAGGAUCAUUGUACCGGAAAAGAAGACAAAAUCCCCGUCAGGAAGUCCAGACCGUCCGACGGAAAGCACUGAACCCGGUCUGCGGUAUUCGCUGGCCGCGAGGCCUUCAACAUUGCAAAGAUCGCUUGACGGCGCUCAGAAUUCCGAUAGCGCUCUUGAGAGCGGUAUUAUCUCUCAGACAAUACCAGUUGCUGCAAGUGGAAACAUCGACUGUGGAGGUUCGCGGUAUGAUGCACCUCGCUCUCCUGACAAAAUGGAGACACACGGCAUCGAUAUCGUGGUCACCGAAGCGGACGACGGCUCAAAUAAAGACGACGAAUCGUGCUUGAAACGCUUUUUUAAGUGCUUGCAGGAUAAUCGAAUGAAAGGUGUUCCGAACGCAGAGGAAAUAUUGGCUAGCUCAAAUCCACAGGAUUUUAAAGUGCUGAAAAAAGUGCUUAACAUAUCGUUCUUAACAAUUGGAAUUGCACUGCUGAUAGCAGUAUUAAUUGUGAUAUUAUAUUCUACUAUCGUCUUCAGAUAAAAGAAAUAGCAUAUUGAAAGGACAGCUUCAACAAAAAAUAGACAAGGUUUUCAUUCGCUUGAACAGCAAGAGAAUAAGGAUGAAGGACAAGCUCGCGCACGUUCGUCGUGCACGUGUAAAAUGCUCAACAUUGCUCAAACCCUCAAAACAGCGUAAUAGUACUGAACGUUUCUUUGGACUUAACGGGAAAUUAACAGUUCCACUUCACCCAAAAUAGUCCACUCUGGUCAAACGUUGCAAAAGUGGUGGAUCCGUUUUUGAUUGGUUCAAUUUUGUUUCAGAAAAGUCGGGAUCGCUCAACUGAAUGAUAGGACUUUCUUCCAAAAUCACCAGCGGCGUUUGCACAAAAUAGCCAUUACUUAAUAAAACUGGAAUUACAAUUACAUUGAAAUGACAAUGUCCCACUACACGAAUAGACAAUAGGAAAUCUCAAAUCUAAGGAACGUAUAACUGGCUUUAUCUGGGGAUAUUGGAUACAGUGUGUCGUUUACAGACAUGAGUGAUCACAUGUUACAUUUCCUGAACACUGAAAUAUAACUCUAGACUUCAAUCAGGAAUUGGAGGUUAUUGUGCUCUUAUAUUAUAAUGGCUGUAAGCUACAAUACAGUCUAAGAAUGGGUAAUUGUUCUUUGAAUUAUGUUACUUUUACCGCAAUGUUUUUUUGAAUAGCUCAAAAUGUGGUGUUUCUGUGCUCAUACUUGCAGCGUCACGUGAAAAGGCGUUGUGCUUAACGCAAAUUCGAAAUGGUGUUUUCAUUUUUGUUGCUACGGCACCGUUAUGUCAAAAUUGUCAUCAAGAGAUGAUUUUAUCAGUUAUAAAUACGUGUUUUUGCUCAAAGCACAUUCAUGGUGUUUGAUUUGUUUUUAUGGUUUUCAUUAGUUGGGUUUCAGUGUGUAUGUUCUAUAUGAUGUUUCAUUUAUGCCUUAGUAAGUCAUGUAAUUAUCAUUUUGCUUAGUAAUAAGUCUGAGUCGAAUUAAAUCAAGCAUUGUCAUUUGCAUUUAUAUUAUAUUUUUAUUAUAAGUGACAGUAUGAAUAAAACAUCAAAACUUU